rnacentral:rRNA from 1 species
CCAUGCAGUCGAACGAUGAUGCCCAGCUUGCUGGGUGGAUUAGUGGCGAACGGGUGAGUAACACGUGAGUAACCUGCCCCUGACUCUGGGAUAAGCGUUGGAAACGACGUCUAAUACUGGAUAUGAUCACUGGCCGCAUGGUCUGGUGGUGGAAAGAUUUUUUGGUUGGGGAUGGACUCGCGGCCUAUCAGCUUGUUGGUGAGGUAAUGGCUCACCAAGGCGACGACGGGUAGCCGGCCUGAGAGGGUGACCGGCCACACUGGGACUGAGACACGGCCCAGACUCCUACGGGAGGCAGCAGUGGGGAAUAUUGCACAAUGGGCGAAAGCCUGAUGCAGCAACGCCGCGUGAGGGAUGACGGCCUUCGGGUUGUAAACCUCUUUUAGUAGGGAAGAAGCGAAAGUGACGGUACCUGCAGAAAAAGCACCGGCUAACUACGUGCCAGCAGCCGCGGUAAUACGUAGGGUGCAAGCGUUGUCCGGAAUUAUUGGGCGUAAAGAGCUCGUAGGCGGUUUGUCGCGUCUGCUGUGAAAUCCCGAGGCUCAACCUCGGGCUUGCAGUGGGUACGGGCAGACUAGAGUGCGGUAGGGGAGAUUGGAAUUCCUGGUGUAGCGGUGGAAUGCGCAGAUAUCAGGAGGAACACCGAUGGCGAAGGCAGAUCUCUGGGCCGUAACUGACGCUGAGGAGCGAAAGCAUGGGGAGCGAACAGGAUUAGAUACCCUGGUAGUCCAUGCCGUAAACGUUGGGCGCUAGAUGUAGGGACCUUUCCACGGUUUCUGUGUCGUAGCUAACGCAUUAAGCGCCCCGCCUGGGGAGUACGGCCGCAAGGCUAAAACUCAAAGGAAUUGACGGGGGCCCGCACAAGCGGCGGAGCAUGCGGAUUAAUUCGAUGCAACGCGAAGAACCUUACCAAGGCUUGACAUACACCGGAAACGGCCAGAGAUGGUCGCCCCCUUGUGGUCGGUGUACAGGUGGUGCAUGGUUGUCGUCAGCUCGUGUCGUGAGAUGUUGGGUUAAGUCCCGCAACGAGCGCA